rnacentral:rRNA from 1 species
UUAAUGGAGAGUUUGAUCCUGGCUCAGGACGAACGCUGGCGGCGUGCCUAAUACAUGCAAGUCGAGCGGGGUUAAUUAGAAGCUUGCUUCUAAUUAACCUAGCGGCGGACGGGUGAGUAACACGUAGGCAACCUGCCCACAAGACAGGGAUAACUACCGGAAACGGUAGCUAAUACCCGAUACAUCCUUUUCCUGCAUGGGAGAAGGAGGAAAGGCGGAGCAAUCUGUCACUUGUGGAUGGGCCUGCGGCGCAUUAGCUAGUUGGUGGGGUAAUGGCCUACCAAGGCGACGAUGCGUAGCCGACCUGAGAGGGUGAUCGGCCACACUGGGACUGAGACACGGCCCAGACUCCUACGGGAGGCAGCAGUAGGGAAUCUUCCGCAAUGGGCGAAAGCCUGACG